UACGUAGGGUGCAAGCGUUGUCCGGAAUUAUUGGGCGUAAAGAGCUCGUAGGCGGUCUGUUGCGUCGGCUGUGAAAACCCGGGGCUCAACUCCGGGCCUGCAGCCGAUACGGGCAGACUAGAGUUCGGCAGGGGAGACUGGAAUUCCUGGUGUAGCGGUGAAAUGCGCAGAUAUCAGGAGGAACACCAGUGGCGAAGGCGGUGCUCUGGGCCGGAACUGACGCUGAGGAGCGAAAGCGUGGGGAGCAAACAGG
rnacentral:rRNA from 1 species